GCAUGUCUAAGUACGCACGGCCGGUACAGUGAAACUGCGAAUGGCUCAUUAAAUCAGUUAUCGUUUAUUUGAUAGUACCUUACUACUUGGAUAACCGUGGUAAUUCUAGAGCUAAUACAUGCUAAAAACCCCAACUCACGAAGGGGUGUAUUUAUUAGAUUAAAAACCAAUGCCCUUCGGGGCUCUCUGGUGAUUCAUAAUAACUUUUCGAAUCGCAUGGCCUUGUGCCGGCGAUGGUUCAUUCAAAUUUCUGCCCUAUCAACUUUCGAUGGCAGGGUCUUGGCCUGCCAUGGUUACAACGGGUAACGGAGGGUUAGGGCUCGACCCCGGAGAAGGAGCCUGAGAAACGGCUACUACAUCCAAGGAAGGCAGCAGGCGCGCAAAUUACCCAAUCCU
rnacentral:rRNA from 1 species